rnacentral:lncRNA from 1 species
CGCCCACCGGGUCCGCCCCCACGCGGCCGCCUGCACAGGGGGUUCCAGCCACCCGCGCUCUCCCAGGUUUGCCGACCUUACGGGCCCUUCUCCGCCAGCCCUGGCUGGGUCACCCCCACGACCCGGGACUCCCCCGCCGUUCCCUCCCGGGCUGCCUGCAGUGAGGUCCGCUCCUGAGGCCUCAGCCUCGCCGGGGGUAGGGCCCUCUCCCGCCGUCGCCGCAGCUCCUUUCCGUCCCGGGGCCUGGGGGGCACCGUCCCACGGGUGAGGGCCGCCUCCAGCGCCUGGCCCAGCCAUGCGAACGCCUGGAGCCCGCGAGCUGCAGCUGCGGCCCUGAAGGUGCCGCAUAUCCUGCCGAGUGGGUGAAGCGUGGCACUUUGGAAAACAAAUCGGGAAUGAAGGAAAACAGGCAAUAAGGCAAGAAUCGCUGUCGAAGGAGUCUGCGCCACCUGCUCGCACAGCUCACUUGUGCCUUCUGAGCCUGCUGGAGCCCAGUGUACAUAUGCCGUCUCCGCGUGAUUAGAGAUUGCUGCUGCACGUGCCCAAUCCCGUGGCGGGGGCUGGAACACAAACGGGGUGGUGUUCCAGCUGCAACCAUGCAGAUGAAGACUAUACCCUAGGAGAUGGAGGAACAACAGACAAGAAAGAAACCUGGGUUCCUGAAUAACCACGUGGAGCCAAGCAGCUUACUUAUCUCAAGCCACUGUUGCCCACCUCCAGAUUGGUUCGUGAGAUAGAAAUAAGCUUCUAUCCUUUUUGCAUGACUGCAUUUUGGGGUCUGUGUUAUAGCAGCUUAAUCUCUAUCUGAAUUAUAUUGGAUUUAAGUGUCUGAAGCCCAAUGACUUAACCUUUCCUGAGGCAAAGGCACAGAAGAGCCUAUUUUCCAAAAAUGGGAAAACGAAGACAUAGGAAGGAAAAACCCAACAAAUGGUCAGGAAAUUAUACUGCUAUAGGCUCUUCUCGGAUGAGUGUCUAGUCCUAAUGAGGGGGCUGUGGGAAUUCAAAGACGGAGAAACUGCCUUCAGAUAGAGCUAGUAGGGAAGACCCCUGCAGACAGUGACAUUAAAUUGAAGGUAGAAUUUGGAUAGAUGGACAUGGGGAGGGCAAUUCAAACAAAGGGAACUUGAGCAACAGGGUGGAGGUAGAAAGGUGCCAGAUCUUUUGGGAGAUGCAGAAGUGAUAUCACACAGUUUAAAGCCAGAGUUAAAUAUAAACCGAUACUUAGAAGCUUAAAUUCAACAUGGCAAAUUCACAGGUUUAGUUUCCUAAAAGAUUUUUCAUGUUUUUAUUACAGAACUGUCUGCAAACAAAUCUUUACUUGAUGAGAAGUUUAAAUAUAAUUAAAUCUAGAAUAUUACAUGAAUAUUUUAUUGCUUUAUUAAGUCCUUCAAACAACACAUUUAUUUAUUUAUUUAUUUAUUUAUUUAUUUAUUAUUUUUUUUGAGACAGAGUCUCACUCUGUUGCCUAGG